UAUUAAAAAAAUUCAUUCAUCUUUACUAUUAAAAACUAAAAUGGCUAACAGGGUAACUAAACAAUGGCACAUGGUGUGCCCCGUAUACCUCAUGUUGACAUAUAGGGAUUAUUUUUAAUAUUAGAAAUAGAUAAAAUUUUUAAUA
rnacentral:pre_miRNA from 1 species